CCACACAAACCCUGUUUAGGGUUUUAGAGAAAGAUGAGGGGAGCAGGAGCACCAGACUUCUUCUACAGAGAAGCUCAACGCCUUGGUUAUUUAGCUCGUUCUGCUUUCAAGCUUCUUCAGAUACAAAAGCAAUACAAGCUCAUAACCCUUGGUUCCUCUGUUCUUGACCUUGGUUGUGCUCCUGGUGCUUGGCUUCAGGUUUCUUGUCAGAGCUUGGGACCGUUAAAGAAUGGUGGGUCUGUUGUAGGUAUUGAUGUCAAGAAGGUGAAGGUUCCUCCGCUUCAUUGUGAUGCCAGGGUUAAAACUGUUUGUGCUGAUGUAAUGAACCUCCCCAAACAUCAAGUUAGAGCGCUUUCUCCUCAGCAGAAAGGGUUUUCUGUGAUACUCUCAGAUAUGUGUUCCGCCGGUUUCUGGAAUCACAACUAAAGAUGCAGCUUUAUCUGCCGAGUUAGGGAUGCAAGCAGUUGAUCUGGCUAUUGGUAGGGCAGCCUUAGCUCAUUCUGAUGGUGAUACUAAAAGGGAUGGGCAGUCAGAUUCUGCUUAUGGUGCAGAUGAUAAUGGUUUAUUACAAGCAGGUGGCCACCUGGUAAUUAAGCUUCUAGAGAGUGAGGAUAUCCAAGAAUUUAGCCGGAUUUGCAAACCACUCUUCAGAAAGGCAUCAUGGUUGAGGCCAAAGGCUACAAGAUCCUCAUCACGAGAGAUUUAUUUAAUUUGCCAAGGUCUUAAAUUGUAGUAACAUAGAUUUUGUUGAGGUGAUUGUUGACAACAAACUUAUUGAGAUUGCAAAUUUUGAAUGACGGGGAAGUCUAUGGGGUAUCAUUGUCUUCGAAAUGAAAUAUUUAUUUUAGAUUCA
rnacentral:misc_RNA from 1 species